rnacentral:lncRNA from 1 species
CCUCACACUGCCUCUGUCCCCUGAUCAUUGGGGCAGGCACCCCUCUUAUUGGAUGGGAAUUAUCUCCCCCAACAUCAGCCAGCAACAUGGCCCCUGGGAGCCCCUUCUGACGAGAGCACAAGCUGCACAAAGGGAAGACAGACAUGAGGACACCUACGAGGGAGGAUGCACAUCAGUGACCACAUCUGAAGACGCUGGGAUGACACUGGGAAACACAGCUUUCCUGGAGCACUGUCAUUCUGUGGCCCUCCUGGCUGUAGGCAUCCCAACCCCUCCUGGAGACAAGUCCCUGGGGGUAGCAUCAUAGGAGAAGGCUGCCCUGGGCCCCAGCCCCAUGGUAAGUGCCAGACACCUGCCUAGGCCUGUACCCACUACUGCCUGA